rnacentral:misc_RNA from 1 species
GACGAAGAACGCAGCGAAAUGCGAUAAGUAGUGUGAAUUGCAGAAUUCAGUGAAUCAUCGAAUCUUUGAACGCACAUUGCGCCCUUUGGUAUUCCAAAGGGCAUGCCUGUUCGAGCGUCAUUUGUACCCUCAAGCUUUGCUUGGUGUUGGGCGUCUUGUCUCUAGCUUUGCUGGAGACUCGCCUUAAAGUAAUUGGCAGCCGGCCUACUGGUUUCGGAGCGCAGCACAAGUCGCACUCUCUAUCAGCAAAGGUCUAGCAUCCAUUAAGCCUUUUUUUCAACUUUUGACCUCGGAUCAGGUAGGGAUACCCGCUGAACUUAAGCAUAUCAAUAAGCGGAGGA